AAAUCUAAUGGCUUAACCAUUAAACUGCUUGGGAAACUGAUAGUCUAGAGUGAGGGAGAGGCAGAUGGAAUUGGUGGUGUAGGGGUAAAAUCCGUAGAUAUCACCAAGAAUACCCAUUGCGAAGGCGAUCUGCUGGAACUCAACUGACGCUAAGGCGCGAAAGCGUGGGGAGCAAACAGGAUUAGAUACCCUGGUAGUCCACGCCCUAAACGAUGUACACUAGUUGUUGGGGUGCUAGUCAUCUCAGUAAUGCAGCUAACGCAUUAAGUGUACCGCCUGGGGAGUACGGUCGCAAGAUUAAAACUCAAAGGAAUAGACGGGGACCCGCACAAGCGGUGGAGCAUGUGGUUUAAUUCGAAGAUACGCGAAGAACCUUACCUGGGCUUGAUAUCCUAAGAACCUUUUAGAGAUAAGAGGGUGCUAGCUUGCUAGAACUUAGAGACAGGUGCUGCACGGCUGUCGUCAGCUCGUGUCGUGAGAUGUUGGGUUAAGUCCCGCAACGAGCGCAACCCACGUAUUUAGUUGCUAACGGUUCGGCCGAGCACUCUAAAUAGACUGCCUUCGUAAGGAGGAGGAAGGUGUGGACGACGUCAAGUCAUCAUGGCCCUUAUGCCCAGGGCGACACACGUGCUACAAUGGCAUAUACAAUGAGACGCAAUACCGCGAGGUGGAGCAAAUCUAUAAAAUAUGUCCCAGUUCGGAUUGUUCUCUGCAACUCGAGAGCAUGAAGCCGGAAUCGCUAGUAAUCGUAGAUCAGCCAUGCUACGGUGAAUACGUUCCCGGGUCUUGUACUCACCGCCCGUCACACCAUGGGAGUUGAUUUCACUCGAAGCCGGA
rnacentral:rRNA from 1 species